GACGAACGCUGGCGGCGUGCCUAAUACAUGCAAGUAGAACGCUGAAGGAGGAGCUUGCUUCUCUGGAUGAGUUGCGAACGGGUGAGUAACGCGUAGGUAACCUGCCUGGUAGCGGGGGAUAACUAUUGGAAACGAUAGCUAAUACCGCAUAAGAGUAGAUGUCGCAUGACAUUUGCUUAAAAGGUGCAAUUGCAUCACUACCAGAUGGACCUGCGUUGUAUUAGCUAGUUGGUGAGGUAACGGCUCACCAAGGCAACGAUACAUAGCCGACCUGAGAGGGUGAUCGGCCACACUGGGACUGAGACACGGCCCAGACUCCUACGGGAGGCAGCAGUAGGGAAUCUUCGGCAAUGGACGGAAGUCUGACUGAGCAACGCCGCGUGAGUGAAGAAGGUUUUCGGAUCGUAAAGCUCUGUUGUAAGAGAAGAACGAGUGUGAGAGUGGAAAGUUCACACUGUGACGGUAGCUUACCAGAAAGGGACGGCUAACUACGUG
rnacentral:rRNA from 1 species